CUCAUGGAGAGUUUGAUCCUGGCUCAGGAUAAACGCUGGCGGCGUGCCUUAUGCAUGCAAGUCGCGCGACGAAACCGGCUUCGGCCGGCUGAAAGCGGCGAACGGGUGAGUAACACGUAGGAACCUGCCCGGAAGUGGGGGAUAACACCGGGAAACCGGUGCUAAUACCGCAUACGGUCCACGGACCAAAGCCUUCGGGCGCUUUCGGAGGGGCCUGCGGUGGAUUAGCUGGUUGGUGGGGUAACGGCCUACCAAGGCGACGAUCCAUAGCUGGCCUGAGAGGGUGGUCAGCCACAUUGGGACUGAGACACGGCCCAGACUCCUGCGGGAGGCAGCAGCAAGGAAUUUUGCGCAAUGGGCGAAAGCCUGACGCAGCAACGCCGCGUGGGGGAAGAAGGCCUUCGGGUUGUAAACCCCUUUUGCGAGGGACGAAGAUCUGACGGUACCUCGCGAAUAAGCCACGGCUAACUACGUGCCAGCAGCCGCGGUAAUACGUAGGUGGCGAGCGUUGUCCGGAUUUACUGGGCGUAAAGCGCGCGCAGGCGGGCUGGUCAGUCCGGGGUGAAAACUCACGGCUCAACUGUGAGAGGUCCCCGGAUACUGCCAGUCUUGAGGCACCUAGAGGAGAGUGGAAUUCCCGGUGUAGUGGUGGAAUGCGUAGAUAUCGGGAGGAACACCAGUGGCGAAAGCGACUCUCUGGGGGUGACCUGACGCUGAGGCGCGAAAGCGUGGGGAGCGAACCGGAUUAGAUACCCGGGUAGUCCACGCCGUAAACGAUGGAUGCUAGACGUGGGGGGUAUCGACCCCUUCUGUGUCGCAGCUAACGCACUAAGCAUCCCGCCUGGGGACUACGGCCGCAAGGCUAAAACUCAAAGGAAUUGACGGGGGC
rnacentral:rRNA from 1 species